UUUCUCUGAAAUGUAAGUUGAAUCUUCAGAUUCAACUACAUACAUAUGUACAUAUAUAAGAUAUGCCGGGUCGUUGAUGCUGAGGAAUGUCAAGUCAGCACAACGGCUUCAGGUAAAUUUAGGAAAUAAGAUUUUUGUAAAGAAUAAAAUGAUGAUUAAUAAACUGGACGGCAAGCCGCUCAGUACGGUAAACCGGAGUUUUAUUAUAUCGUAAUUCGCGCACAUAAAAUUAGUACGUAAGCUAGACAGAAAUAAAUAAAGAAAACUUAGUCUAAGAUUGGAGCUGAGCAAAGAA